UGCCUUUAUGUGUUGCCCGUUCGUUUCCAUCUAGACGAACGUGGUGUCAGAAAAGGCGCACAGGAACUCUCGUGAUGGUUUUUAUCGGCAUGGAAAACUGUUGUGAUUUCUGUGGUCCUGCUGUUACGAGCACAUCU